UUUCAGAAACAGAAGUUCCAAUUUUAACAACUCGUCAAGCUCCUACUGUACUGAAGGAACCAGAAGCUGCUGUAGCAAAGUCAAAACAAGCCACUAAAAAGAAAGAACCAGCUGCGCCAAAAGAAAAAGCCAAAGUUCCUGCAAAGAAGG